GACGAACGCUGGCGGCGUGCUUAACACAUGCAAGUCGAACGGAAAGGCCCUGCUUUUGUGGGGUGCUCGAGUGGCGAACGGGUGAGUAACACGUGAGUAACCUGCCCUUGACUUUGGGAUAACUUCAGGAAACUGGGGCUAAUACCGGAUAGGAGCUCCUGCUGCAUGGUGGGGGUUGGAAAGUUUCGGCGGUUGGGGAUGGACUCGCGGCUUAUCAGCUGGUUGGUGGGGUGGUGGCUUACCAAGGCUUUGACGGGUAGCCGGCCUGGGAGGGUGACCGGCCACAUUGGGACUGAGAUACGGCCCAGACUCCUACGGGAGGCAGCAGUGGGGAAUAUUGCACAAUGGGCGGAAGCCUGAUGCAGCAACGCCGCGUGCGGGAUGACGGCCUUCGGGUUGUAAACCGCUUUCGCCUGUGACGAAGCGUGAGUGACGGUAAUGGGUAAAGAAGCACCGGCUAACUACGUG
rnacentral:rRNA from 1 species